rnacentral:rRNA from 1 species
CCAGACUCCUACGGGAGGCAGCAGUGAGGAAUAUUGGUCAAUGGGCGGGGGCCUGAACCAGCCAAGCCGCGUGAGGGAAGAAGGUACAGCGUAUCGUAAACCUCUUUUGUCAGGGAACAAAGGCGGGGACUAGUCCCCGGAUGAGGGUACCUGAAGAAAAAGCAUCGGCUAACUCCGUGCCAGCAGCCGCGGUAAUACGGAGGAUGCGAGCGUUAUCCGGAUUUAUUGGGUUUAAAGGGUGCGCAGGCGGCCUGUUAAGACAGCGGAAAAAGCCGGGGGCCCACCCCCGGCGAGCCGUUGAAACUGGCGGGCUGGAGUUGGAGAGAAGUACGCGGAAUGCGCGGUGUAGCGGUGAAAUGCUUAGAUAUCACGCAGAACUCCGAUUGCGAAGGCAGCGCACCGGCGCCCUACUGACGCUCAGGCACGAAAGCGUGGGUAUCGAACAGGAUUAGAUACCCCAGUA